UUGAGCAGAUACUUCAGGGUGAGCUGGUCUUUGAGAUACUGCUUUUGGAUUUCCACCUACCAUCUUGAUGAAGGCCUGAAUCCGCUGAAAGUAGAACCGGAAGUGACCACAACCCCAUGUCCUCAUUGCUGGGUUGCAUGUCACCGACAGGGGAGGUCUCAGGCUCCAAACCCACACUACUUUUGGGAGCAAGAAGGCAAACCACGGAGUUCAGGCAAAGCAAAGAAUUUCUCAAAGGAAACAAUAAUUUUCUCUAGAUUUCUGGCCUCGCUUUUGUCACACCUCACCAGCCUGAACUGGAUCGUGUACCCAUUCUUUAAUUGACAAAGAGAUUUUUAAGGAUCCUCGCAUCACGACUUUUGGAAGAUCAUUUUGCCUUCAAUAUGGCUAAGUACUGGAAGGGGACAAUCCUGGAGCCAGAAGGUCAGUGUGAAGCCCGUCAGCAAGGCAAACUGUACACAUGGAACAGACUGAACGGGCAGCAGGGCGUUUGCUGCUGUGAAAGCUACAGUUAGCCUUCAGAGUCACCAGAGACCUGAGAAGGGGACGUCUGAUCAGGAAGUAUCAUUUAAAUGGUUUUUGUGUCAAUUAAAAUGACAGGGACUUAUUUAGACAGCUGUUCAAGGCUUAUGUUCAUUGGGGACAGAAGCCGUGGUCUUUGACUGCCCGACAAGAGCAACAUUUAUUCUUCAGUUGACAUACAGAGCAGCGGGCCUUCGACUGUCAGACCCCGGUCUGAAUUUUUCCUAUAGAGGAAGAACUUGGGAAAAUUGACCUGACUUUGACCAGGCAGAGUACAGCAUUCAACCCCAAAAUGUCCACAGUUUGUGCAGGUUCCUGGUGGCAGGGGAAGCAUGGGGCAGUUCUAUCCCAUGGUUGGCAUUACCAUAGUCCAGACGGUGUUCUCGGUGCAGCGUCCCAUCUGGCUUCUUUAGACACCUUAAAC